GACGAACGCUGGCGGCGUGCUUAACACAUGCAAGUCGAACGGAAAGGCCCUUCGGGGUCCUCGAGUGGCGAACGGGUGAGUAACACGUGGGUGAUCUGCCCUGCACUUUGGGAUAAGCCUGGGAAACUGGGUCUAAUACCGAAUAUGAUCAUCGGCUUCAUGGUCGGUGGUGGAAAGCUUUUGCGGUGUGGGAUGGGCCCGCGGCCUAUCAGCUUGUUGGUGGGGUAAUGGCCUACCAAGGCGACGACGGGUAGCCGGCCUGAGAGGGUGACCGGCCACACUGGGACUGAGAUACGGCCCAGACUCCUACGGGAGGCAGCAGUGGGGAAUAUUGCACAAUGGGCGCAAGCCUGAUGCAGCGACGCCGCGUGAGGGAUGACGGCCUUCGGGUGGUAAACCUCUUUCAGCACAGACGAAGCGCAAGUGACGGUAUGUGCAGAAGAAGGACCGGCCAACUACGUG
rnacentral:rRNA from 1 species